rnacentral:rRNA from 1 species
GACGAACGCUGGCGGCGUGCUUAACACAUGCAAGUCGAACGGAAAGGCCCUGCUUGCAGGGUACUCGAGUGGCGAACGGGUGAGUAACACGUGGGUGAUCUGCCCUGCACUUCGGGAUAAGCCUGGGAAACUGGGUCUAAUACCGGAUAGGAGCCAUUUUUAGUGUGAUGGUUGGAAAGUUUUUUCGGUGUAGGAUGAGCUCGCGGCCUAUCAGCUUGUUGGUGGGGUAAUGGCCUACCAAGGCGGCGACGGGUAGCCGGCCUGAGAGGGUGGACGGCCAAAGUGGGGAUGGAGAGCCGCCCAAGCCCCCGCGGGGGGGAGGGGGGGGGGAAUGUGGAAAAAGGGGGGCAGGCUGAAUGAGGGGCCCCGGGGGGGGGGAUGCGGCCCUUGGGGUUGAAACCUCUUUCGGUGGGGGAGGAAGUUUUUUGGGAGGGUCCUUAGUAAAGAGGCCCGGGCAACCUCCGGC